UACGUAGGGUCCGAGCGUUGUCCGGAAUUACUGGGCGUAAAGAGCUCGUAGGUGGUUUGUCGCGUUGUUCGUGAAAACUCACAGCUCAACUGUGGGCGUGCGGGCGAUACGGGCAGACUGGAGUACUGCAGGGGAGACUGGAAUUCCUGGUGUAGCGGUGGAAUGCGCAGAUAUCAGGAGGAACACCGGUGGCGAAGGCGGGUCUCUGGGCAGUAACUGA
rnacentral:rRNA from 1 species